UCACGUCUGACCUGCUGUGCUUGUGGCAGUGUCCGGAGCGUUACAAGCCAUUUACUGCUGUGAACUGAUGUUUACAUGCCUGACUUAUCACAGAGCAUGCUUAACGGACAGGACACACAGCUAGCUCCAGUGGAAAAAGCACCUCAGGAAAUAAAUUUCAGAUUAGGGACUGAGGCCGUAAGAUAAGAGGAGAACUGUUAUAUUUUUCUUUAUUUACUUUCAAGGGAAGAGUAAGGGAACUGGAGCUGUUGCUAAGCGACAGGCCAAGUCCAAUGCAGCUGGAAAUUAGGCUUGGACCAAUGGAAAGCAACGAAACAGAAAUUCACAGUGAAGCAAGUCCAGAGAUCUUUGGCAGACAAAACAAUGGAAAGGAGAUGAGAAGCCCCUGCAGAGAUGCCUCAGCAGGCUGUAGUUGAGCCUGAUUUAAUUACUCUUGAAUGCUAACCAGAAUGCCUACAGUCCCAUGCCAAUGAGGCAGUGAAAGAUAAACGUGCUGAUAAAGAGAAAAAAAAGAAACUUGGAUUCAGAAAACAAAGCUCAUAAGAGGAAAACAAUGGAGCUUUUCCAGGAGAAAUAAAAAGGAAACUCCACAGAAAUUACAGAAAAAAAAUCCAGAGUUUAGAAUUCAUCAAUGGCAGAUGAAUUGUUUCCAACAGGAUCGUCAUCACUAAAGUCUUAUUUUAAAUGACGAACACUGGAAUAGUCCAGCCAACCAAAGGACUUCAUA